rfam:Lupinus angustifolius cultivar Tanjil chromosome LG03, whole genome shotgun sequence.
CUACGGACUUAAUUGGAUUGAGCCUUGGUAUGGAAACUUACCAAGUGAUAACUUUCAAAUUCAGAGAAACCCUGGAAUUGACAAUGGGCAAUCCUGAGCCAAAUCCCGUUUUUUCGCAAAAACAAAGAAAAGUUCAGAAAGCGAAAAUAAAAAGGAUAGGUGCAGAGACUCAAUGGAAGCUGUUCUAACAAACGGAGUUGACGACAUUUACUUUCGCGUUGGGUUAGGAAAGGAAUCCUUUCAUCGAAAUUUUGUAAAGGAUCAAGAAUAAACGUAUAUACAGAUAUACUUAUAUUUACGUUAAUCUUAUUUCAAUUGAUUAAUAAAGACUGAAAAUGUCUAUUUAUUGAAGGAGUAAUUGAAUAUUGAUUGAUCAAAUCAUUCAUUCCAUGAUAAUCUGAUAGAUCUUUUUAAGAGCUGAUUAAUCAGACCAGAAUAAAGAUAGAGUCCCAUUCUACAUGUCAAUACUGA